CCUGCGCGAGCCUCGCGAGCAGCGGCAUCAGCUUCAGCAGCUGCCUGUCGCUCUGGUCGUCGAACCAGCUCUCGAUGGGCACCCCGUUGUCAACCUGAAAGCCAAACGCCUGCGGCGAGUUAUCCACGAUGAUCGUCUUCGCCAGGUCCCGCCCGAGCACGCUCAGGUCCUUCAUGUAGUUACCCUCCACCAGCACGCAGCUCUCGCGGUACAGGCGGUGCUUGAUGAGCACCUGGUUUGGGUCAAUCUUGUUCAGCAAUCGCUCGGCGUACACCCUCUGCGACGCGGUGAAGACGACAACCUCGAAAUGCCGC
rnacentral:lncRNA from 1 species